GCCAAGUAGGCUAUAGCACAGCGAGUGUGAGAAUUAAACAAGUAAUAAUAAUAAUGAUACAUAGGUUAUUUAGGCUUUUCUAAACACUUUGUCCUUGUUGUUUAAAUAAAGUUUAAAUACGCUAUCUACUUAUUUAAAAUCACAGAAUAAUUUGUCUAAUGAAAUAUCUAUUUAAGUAACUAUUUUUCUAAUCUUAACUUGGCAUUACAGUUUAAAUUACAUUAAAUAAAAGAUUAAUACAUGCGUGUUAAAAGUAUCCAAUUCCGCGCAUGUGUCGAAUGCAUUUGAUUAAUCAACGUCAUCGCGCAUCAGGCUGCAGUCAUCACUUCCCGCCUUCCUAACGGUUGUUUCUGCCUCCUGACUCCUGACUCUGAGAUACCUUAGCCAGAGCAUAACUGGUUAUCUUCACCCAAGAGACUUAGUGUUGGUCAAUAGUUUUGGCUUUAAAGGCUAAUUACUGGGCCAAAAGGAAAAUAAUAUUGAAAAGAGUUGAGAGGGACAAACAGGACAUUCACUUGAAUCACUACAUGCUAAAGAAGUUGCAUCGAUUCCAGAAAACCAGGAAAAUGUUGAGCCAUCUGUAGACUUAAGAGCUGGUUUCUCCCCAGUAAUCCAGACUCCACUUCACAGAGCCAAGAGUUUGAGUACAACUCGUCAAGUACUAAGCUUUACACCAACAGCAGCAAAUUUACCCUGGCAGCAUAUGGGUGAAAACGCUGGAGGAGAAAGUCAUCGCUUUGUUAUUGGCCCUUGGACACCCCUGGCAUCUCGUGUACAGCACAAAGUUUUCAGCUAUGAAGAUUUCUAGAGACUCCAGAAUGAAAACCAAGCUCUGAGGGAGGAGAACCAAGCCCUGGGGGAAUGCAAUGCACAAGCAGGUGAGAACGUGCAUACCAUACCAUACCAUCAUCUACCGCUUAUCCGGGGCCGGGUCGUGGGGGCAGCAGUCUAAGCAGGGAUGCCCAGACUUCCCUCUCCCCAGACACUUCCUCCAGCUCUUCCGGGGGGACACCGAGGCGUUCCCAGGCCAGCCGGGAGACAUAGUCCCUCCAGCGUGUCCU
ensembl:lncRNA